rnacentral:rRNA from 1 species
AUUGAACGCUGGCGGCAGGCCUAACACAUGCAAGUCGAGCGGAUGAAGGGAGCUUGCUCCUGGAUUCAGCGGCGGACGGGUGAGUAAUGCCUAGGAAUCUGCCUGGUAGUGGGGGAUAACGUCCGGAAACGGGCGCUAAUACCGCAUACGUCCUGAGGGAGAAGGUGGGGGAUCUUCGGACCUCACGCUAUCAGAUGAGCCUAGGUCGGAUUAGCUAGUUGGUGGGGUAAAGGCCUACCAAGGCGACGAUCCGUAACUGGUCUGAGAGGAUGAUCAGUCACACUGGAACUGAGACACGGUCCAGACUCCUACGGGAGGCAGCAGUGGGGAAUAUUGGACAAUGGGCGAAAGCCUGAUCCAGCCACGCCGCGUGUGUGAAGAAGGUCUUCGGAUUGUAAAGCACUUUAAGUUGGGAGGAAGGGCAGUAAGUUAAUACCUUGCUGUUUUGACGUUACCAACAGAAUAAGCACCGGCUAACUUCGUG